UGCUUGUGACGGGGAGAGAGAAAGCACUGAGUGUGUGCGUGUGUGUUUGCACAAACCUCCUUUGUGUGUCUGCUGUGAACUGAGCACAGAAUGGCCCUGCCUUUGCAGACAGCAGUCCUGUGAGGUUUAAAGGUGCAGUACACAGAAAAUCACAGGCAUAAGCACAUUGACAUGUCCUCAUUUCAGAUCCAAGUCCAGCAGGAGAUGGGUGCGGGACGGUGGCUGUGGCACAAAGUGAGAUGGGCAGACUCUGCAUCAUGGUGGCAAUGGGACAAAGGCGCCCAGCCUGAACAAUACUAUUGGAAGGAAAUCUAACAAACACUGGCCAUCAGGCUCCAUGGACUGAAAUCGGAGAAGAGGCUGGUAAUAAGUAAAGACCAAAUUCAAAGGUGUGCCUGGGAGGCAGACAGUGCCAGGGACAAAGGAGGAAGCGGAGUAAGUAUCAUCAGGCUCAUAUAAAUUCAUCCUGCCUGUCAAGCCUGAAGAAGCGACUUGUGAAUGUGAGCUUGCAGGGGACAACUUGUACCAAAGUCUAGCACCCCUCCCCAGGUGCUCUGGGGCUGACGUUCGGCUCUGCCACUUCCUCUCUGCCUGAACCGUCCCGUGGGGAUAAACAACAAGCCCCUGGCUGAGAAACCAACAGGUAGGUCACUGCCAGGUGUCCCAUUGCUGGAUUAAUCCUUCUGUGUCCAGCCCGCAAGCCCCCCUCUCCCUACUGGGCUUUGCUCCCUGCAAUCAUGUAUGUGAUAUAUUGUCAUUUUAAGAUGCUUAAUGAACUGAUCAAAUUUUAUCAGUGACUUUCUCACUAGUCUUCCCUUCCCCCACGAGAUACUGGUAAAAGCUCCUCUUGUUCCUUCCCUUUGGCAGCAUUAGUUCAUUCUUUUUUCUGCGGUCAUCUUCCCCCUAUAAGCGAUCUUGUGUAUGUCCUGGCUUCUCCUCCAUGUCCAUUCUGGGUACUGCUUUGUGCCCUACGGUCCUUUGAGGAGAGGCACCUCCACUGUUCCCAGCAUUCUUCUUUCAUGGGUAUCUGUAGAUCCCCUCUAGGACUCUUCAGCCUUCUUGUGGAUUUUAAUAUU
rnacentral:lncRNA from 1 species